CUAAUGCCGGAUAUNGUGUCCUACUGCAUAGUAGGUUAACGAAAGAUUUAUCGUUGUGGGAUGAGCUUGCGUCCGAUUAGCUAGUUGGCGGGGUAAUAGCCCACCAAGGCGACGAUCGGUAGCCGGCCUGAGAGGGUGAUCGGNCACAUUGGGACUGAGAUACGGCCCAGACUCCUACGGGAGGCAGCAUUAGGGAAUAUUGNGCAUUGGGGGGAACCCUGACGUNCUNCNCCACGUGUGGGAAGAAG
rnacentral:rRNA from 1 species